GCAAUCCAAAUAAUCAUCCUGCACAAGGAGAAGAAAAAAUACUGAAAAAAAAAGAGGUAGAUAAUUGGCUCAGAUGAAAUUGAUCACCGAGUGUGAACUAAACAUGCAAUUUACCUUAAAACAUUAUAAAUAACAAUACAGGACAGAGACAUCCUGUUUGGACCUAUUUCUGUCACUUAACAACAUAACUCAAGACCUCCAUUUUCAAGGAAAACUUAAUGCAAUUUAUGAUUCAACAAAGACAGAGAAAAGGAAAAUCCAGGAAAAGUUCAGGUAAUCAUGUCUAAAAUUACCUGCACUUGGAAGUAGAUUCCCA
rnacentral:misc_RNA from 1 species